AUUGAACGCUGGCGGCAGGCCUAACACAUGCAAGUCGAGCGGAUGAAGGGAGCUUGCUCCUGGAUUCAGCGGCGGACGGGUGAGUAAUGCCUAGGAAUCUGCCUUGUAGUGGGGGAUAACGUCCGGAAACGGGCGCUAAUACCGCAUACGUCCUGAGGGAGAAAGUGGGGGAUCUUCGGACCUCACGCUAUCAGAUGAGCCUAGGUCGGAUUAGCUAGUUGGUUGGGUAAAGGCCUACCAAGGCGACGAUCCGUAACUGGUCUGAGAGGAUGAUCAGUCACACUGGAACUGAGACACGGUCCAGACUCCUACGGGAGGCAGCAGUAGGGAAUAUUGGACAAUGGGCGAAAGCCUGAUCCAGCCAUGCCGCGUGUGUGAAGAAGGUCUUCGGAUUGUAAAGCACUUUAAGUUGGGAGGAAGGGCAGUAAGUUAAUACCUGGCUGUUUUGACGUUACCAACAGAAUAAGCACCGGCUAACUUCGUG
rnacentral:rRNA from 1 species